GACAGAGGAGGCAAGCGUUGUUCGGAAUCAUUGGGCUUAAAGGGCGUGCAGGCGGCGGCGCACGUGUCGCGUGAAAUCCCAUCGCUCAACGAUGGAACGGCUCGGCAAACUGCGUCGCUUGAGGUCGGUAGAGGUGCUCGGAACUCUAGGUGGAGCGGUGAAAUGCGUAGAUAUCUAGAGGAACGCCUGAGGCGAAAGCGGGGCACUGGGCCGAUUCUGACGCUGAGACGCGAAAGCGUGGGGAGCAAACAGG
rnacentral:rRNA from 1 species